UACUACGGGAAUGGGGGCAGCUACACCUGGUCUCUGCCCCCUGGAGUCCACAGCCAGAGACUCUCCCGCUUCACUGACAAAGUCAACAAUCUGCACAAGGAUGUCAAGCCAGAUCAGGCCAAUGACACCAUCCAGGAGAUCAUGCAGGAGGUGGAUGAGCUGCUGGAGACCCCUGGGGACCUGGAGACGCUGACCUCCUCACAGAAGCACAGUGUGGCCACUCACCUGCUGACAGACCUGGAGAGUGCCCUGACACUCCUGAGCUGGGAUCUGCCUGAGGGGACAGCAACCUUCA